UCAGUCACACACUGAGGACCACCAAG
rnacentral:piRNA from 1 species